rnacentral:rRNA from 1 species
UCCUACGGGACGCAGCAGUGAGGAAUAUUGGUCAAUGGGCGGGAGCCUGAACCAGCCAAGCCGCGUGAAGGAAGAAGGCGCCAGGCGUCGUAAACUUCUUUUGUCGGGGAACAAAGGGCGCCACGUGUGGCGUUGUGAGUGUACCCGAAGAAAAAGCAUCGGCUAACUCCGUGCCAGCAGCCGCGGUAAUACGGAGGAUGCGAGCGUUAUCCGGAUUUAUUGGGUUUAAAGGGUGCGCAGGCGGAAUGUCAAGUCAGCGGUAAAAUUUCGGGGCUCAACCCCGUCGUGCCGUUGAAACUGGCGUU